AUGACAACGCCGCCGCCAGCGUUCGUGUACCGGAUUAGCACCGGGGAGGAGUGGGCGGAGCUUCAGCGCACCGGCGGCACGCUCGGCGGCGACCUUGACCGAUCCACUGGCUGCUUUGUGACACUAAAGAAUUUUUUCCAUGGGCAAAAUGAUCUAUACUUGUUACAAGUUGACGCUGCCAAGAUUGCAGAUGGCUUAAUUUAUGAGGCAGCUGAUGGCUGUAACUACUUUCCUCAUUUCUAUGGUCCUGAUCGGAGCUUUGCACCCCUUCAACUAAGUGAUGUUGUCAAGGCAGACAAAAUAGUUCUGGCAAACAAUGAUUUUACGUCCAGUCUACUUGAUGGAGCGGCCAUCUAA
rnacentral:rRNA from 1 species